CGAACAACAUUCGGACCGUCGGUCUACCGAGCAAUAUCACCCGCUCGGUGGAAGAUCUUCCUUUAGUCGUGAUA
rnacentral:pre_miRNA from 1 species